rnacentral:lncRNA from 7 species
GCAGGAGGGAAUGAAGCCACUGGAUGAUCAAAGCCCUGUAUGACUCAAAAUGGUUUCCAGGUUUCUCCUGAUUUCGGUGACUGUCCAGUGGCUGAUUCCUCUUCCUCAGUAGCUGAGAGACAAUGCAUUUCCACACACUGACAUCGGGAGAACCGCCUCCAUUCACUUGCUGCUUUUAUUCCUUGAUGGUGGAAAGUGCUAAGCAGUCAUCUGUCAGCAGUUGGAAGAGUUGUGUUAGUGAAGUUUCAGUCUUCAAAGGUACUUAACACUGAUAAUACAGAAUAUGUAGCAGGAAAAAAUGCAGUUUUCAGAUGAGGAAUGACUCUUUUAAUCUCUACUUCUUUUAAUAAUAUGGGCUCUGAUAUUUCAGUGCUUUAAGAGAGGUAGGACUUCUUCCCUCCUUCCCCCAGAAUCUUCAAAAAGUAAAAUUUAAUUUUAUGUAUUUCUAUAAUUUGAUAAUAAACUUAGUAUUG